GACGAACGCUGGCGGCGUGCUUAACACAUGCAAGUCGAACGAGGUCCAUGAAGUAGCAAUACUUCGGAAGACCUAGUGGCGAACGGGUGCGUAACACGUGAGGAACUUGUCCCGGUCUCUGGGAUAACAGUUGGAAACGACUGCUAAUACCGGAUGACGUCGGAGCAUCGCAUGGUGCGCUGACGAAAGGGUUACUGGAUCGGGAGAGCCUCGCGGCCUAUCAGCUUGUUGGUGGGGUAACGGCCUACCAAGGCAUCGACGGGUAGCUGGUCUGAGAGGAUGAUCAGCCACACUGGGACUGAGACACGGCCCAGACUCCUACGGGAGGCAGCAGUGGGGAAUCUUGCGCAAUGGGCGAAAGCCUGACGCAGCAACGCCGCGUGCGGGAAGAAGGCUCUCGGGUUGUAAACCGCUUUCAGCAGGAACGAAAAUGACGGUACUUGCAGAAGAAGGUGCGGCCAACUACGUG
rnacentral:rRNA from 1 species